CCAGAUAUCGUCUAGUGGUUAGGACACCAGGUUCUGAGCCCUAGCAUCCUGGUAACCCCGGUUCAAACCCGGGUAUCUGGU